GGCGAAUUGUAAGUGACUAAGAUCGAGUGUGGUUUGUAUUUCGCUACAGACUUAAAAUCCGUUGCCGGGCAACCGGCGUGGGGGUUCGAGUCCCCCCGGUG
rnacentral:tRNA from 1 species